AACGAACGCUGGCGGCAUGCCUAACACAUGCAAGUCGAACGAGACCUUCGGGUCUAGUGGCGCACGGGCGCGUAACGCGUGGGAACCUACGCUUAGGAUCGGAAUAACUCCCCGAAAGGGGUGCAAAUACCGGUUAAAGUCUUCGGACUAAUGAUUUAUCACCUUUGGAUGGGCCGGCUUUCGAUUAGAUAGUAUGUAGAGUAAAAGCAUACCAAGGCGACGAUCCAUAGCUGGUCUGAGAGGAGGGACAGCGACACUGGGACUGAGACACGGCCCAGACUCGUACAGGAGGCAGCAGUGGGGAGUAUGAGACAGUGAUGGCGAGCGUAAGCAAGCAGUGCCGCGUGAGGGAUGAAGGUCUUAGAGGGGUAAAGCACUGUUAACCGGGACGAUAAUGACAGUACCGGAAGAAUAAGCACCGGCUAACUCCGUG
rnacentral:rRNA from 1 species